rnacentral:rRNA from 1 species
UACGUAGGGUGCGAGCGUUGUCCGGAAUUAUUGGGCGUAAAGGGCUCGUAGGCGGUUUGUCGCGUCGGGAGUGAAAUCCACUGGCUUAACUGGUGGCUUGCUUUCGAUACGGGCAGACUGGAGGUAUGCAGGGGAGAACGGAAUUCCUGGUGUAGCGGUGAAAUGCGCAGAUAUCAGGAGGAACACCAAUGGCGAAGGCAGCUCGCUGGAACGGUACUGACGCUGAGGUGCGAAAGCGUGGGGAGCAAACAGG